GCGACCAUAGCGUUAUGGACCCACCUGAUCCCAUGCCGAACUCAGAAGUGAAACGUAAUAGCGCCGAUGGUAGUGUGGGGUUUCCCCAUGUGAGAGUAGGACAUCGCUAGGC
rnacentral:rRNA from 1 species